rnacentral:rRNA from 1 species
GACGAACGCUGGCGGCGUGCUUAACACAUGCAAGUCGAACGGUAAGGCCCUUCGGGGUACACGAGUGGCGAACGGGUGAGUAACACGUGGGUGAUCUGCCCUGCACUUCGGGAUAAGCCUGGGAAACUGGGUCUAAUACCGGAUAGGACAACUGCCUGCAUGGGUGGUGGUGGAAAGCUUUUGCGGUGUGGGAUGGGCCCGCGGCCUAUCAGCUUGUUGGUGGGGUGAUGGCCUACCAAGGCGACGACGGGUAGCCGGCCUGAGGGGGUAACCGGCCACACUGGGGCUGAGAUACGGCCCAGACUCCUACGGGAGGCAGCAGUGGGGAAUAUUGCACAAUGGGCGCAAGCCUGAUGCAGCGACGCCGCGUGAGGGAUGACGGCCUUCUGGUUGUAAACCUCUUUCAGCACCGACGAAGCGCAAGUGACGGUAGGUGCAGAAGAAGGACCGGCCAACUACGUGCCAGCCGCCGCAGUAA